rnacentral:lncRNA from 1 species
CUGGAAGUUCCCGGUUUCUGCGGUCGCAGCUGUCCCAGCGGGCUCAUAUCUGCCCUGUUGAGAGACGCCGGCACCUUCUGGGCGGGGUGGGAGCCUGAAGGCAGCCGGGGAGCACCAGCCUCAGGUGGGCAUCGUGCCUGCCUUCACCAGCCUGACGGGAACAGACAGGGACAAAGGGUCCAGGCCAGCUCUACGACUGUGCUGUCCCCAGGGAAGGAAGGGUCCUCCUGCUGCGCUGGCUGCCGGUGACCUGGCAGGGGACAUGGAGCUGCUGGCUGUCACAGCCCCAGAGGAAGCAGGGAAGGAUGCAACAGCAUCACAAGCCGAGGUGGAAGGAGCAGAAAAAACAGCUGCAAUGCCAGAGGCAGAAAGCCUAGUGGGGAAGAUGGUCACUCCUGAAGGAGCAGCAGCAGUUGUGGUGGGAGCAUCAGAAAACCCAGCAGCAGAAAGAGUGGCAGAAGCAUUUGCCAGGGCAGCAGAAAGAACUGCAGCAGCAGAAGUAGCCAAGGUGUUGCAGUCAGCAAUAGCUGAGCUCAAAGGAAAGAGGAAGGACAUGUGGAUAAAGCCAAGGAACGCCACUCAGCAGGAAAAGGAUUGGAUGAAAGAGGGAGAGGUGAAAUGAAAAGGAGAGGUGAUGUUCUGGGUCAUACCUCCUAAUGGCUUGUAC